rnacentral:rRNA from 1 species
UACAGAGGGGGCAAGCGUUGUUCGGAAUUACUGGGCGUAAAGAGCGUGUAGGCGGCCCGAUUAGUCCGCUGUGAAAGUCGAGGGCUCAACCCUCGAAUGCCGGCGGAUACUGUCGGGCUAGAGUCCGGAAGAGGCGAGUGGAAUUCCUGGUGUAGCGGUGAAAUGCGCAGAUAUCAGGAGGAACACCGAUGGCGAAGGCAGCUCGCUGGGACGGUACUGACGCUGAGACGCGAAAGCGUGGGGAGCAAACAGG